GCAGGGAUGGCGGAGUGGUCUAACGCGCCGGUCUGGAAAGCCGGUCUCCUCACGGAGGCACGAGUUCGAAUCUCGUUCCCUGCG
rnacentral:tRNA from 1 species